AGUGUCCGAAAAAUCUGCUUAGACAUAAAAAUCAAUCAAAGAAAAGGAAGAAAGAUUGAUUUCAAGCUACAAAUUACAUAAUUCAGAUGGCCAUCAAUUAUUCCAAGCUCCAAAGCCAUAAUUUUCCUGGAAAACAGAAUCCUCUUAUUUGGGAUCCUAUUUCUUUCUGUGUUGCAUCUAAAUGAGACUGGGCCAUCUGAGCAACUCAAAGUAUUAAAGAACUGAGACUCUUUAUUUGGACGUAAUGAGGGAUUCCAAAAAUAGCCUUAGCAGUGCUUAACAGAUUGGAAAGA